rnacentral:rRNA from 1 species
UACCAGCACCCCGAGUGGUCGGGACGAUUAUUGGGCCUAAAGCAUCCGUAGCCGGUCAUGCAAGUCCUCCGUUAAAUCCACCUGCUUAACAGAUGGGCUGCGGAGGAUACUACGUGGCUAGGAGGCGGGAGAGGCAAGCGGUACUCAGUGGGUAGGGGUAAAAUCCUUUGAUCCAUUGAAGACCACCAGUGGCGAAGGCGGCUUGCCAGAACGCGCUCGACGGUGAGGGAUGAAAGCUGGGGGAGCAAACCGG